UCUUUCAACUGUGCUUCCGUGACAAGGGUUUUGGUCUAUUCCCUAUCACAGCCUCCUUCCUCUCCCCACCAACACACCCCAGACUAUCAAAUAAACCUCAUAAAACUGAAGUCCAGGGCUGAAGGCACAACUCCAAAUGUACUCACAACAGUCGAGAACUGAAUGGACUAUUGGCUCCCUGGUUCCAGACUCCACAUUUCUGAUGUCUUACACCAAGGCUUAACAUUUCUGAUCAUCCAAUCACACUGAUUCAACCCAAAGUCAGAGUCAACCAAAAGCCCCCAUUCCAGUCCCCAUAUGCACCACUAUCACAUCUUCCCUUUAUGACCUGGCCCCUCCUGUCUUGCCCACAAUAAUUCAUGCCUCACCUUUUAGAUUCAUGUCAGACCAUGCCAUUUUGCGAUUCCACAUCAUGCUAUUUCACCUUCUGUGUCUUUUGGAUGUUGUCCCCUCUGCAAAGCUUUGCCGGACAGCCAGGUAAUCACUUCCCUAUUUUACCUUUGGACUGUGUAUACAUCAUCAUCAUAUAGUCACACAGCCAUACUAUUUGUUUAUACGUCUGCCUCUCUUUCUGAACCAUGAGCUUCACAAGGAUUUAAUCCUCUGGUGCCUAACUCAUGGGUACCUAGUAGUUCUUUUGUGAAGCUGUCUGUUGAGAUCAGCAGGAUCCUCUAUGCUGUCCUUUCCUAGAUGUUUCUUUUUUAAACCUUGACUAUGCACCUCUCCCUAAAAUGGUUCAUCUUGCUGGGUUUGGUCCUUUAUUCCAGGUUAAAUCCUUUGCAGAGUGAAUAGGAUACUAAUAUAUUAGUUUUGUGCCAUUUGCUUGCCUAACCUGUGAACCACCCAAAUCCUCAUUAAGCCAUUACUCACAAUACACAGCCCUGGAAAGCAUCAAGCAGAAACUUGGGGCAGGUACUAGAAAUCUGCCUAGGCCAAGAAGGAGAGGUCCAUCAGAAGGAAUUCAGUGGGGAUUACUCCUCCUUUGGGAUUACCUCAUCAGCAAAGUCCUUUUCUAGGUCCAAGUAAACGGUAUAGGUUUUGUUUCCACCCCAUUUCUCAUCUCGAAGGAUCACAAACUCUGUAAGACAAAGGAUCCAUGACAACAAACUCAUCAAUAAUGGCAGAGUCAGCAUUCCUAGCUCAAUGUUAUGGAUAUUUAGAGUUUUUGUUGUAUAUUUUAAACUUUAUUAUAUGGCAUUUUAUUGUUCUUAAAUCAGAUGAGCUAGCAACCCAGCGGCAUCCAAGCUCAAGGGAAAGGAUCGUGCAUUACAUUUCUUUCAUACUUCUCUAAUUCAGCAUGCCUGUGCCCACCCUCAUUUCUACAACCCCUGCCCACCCUAUCACCCUAUGUAGAGUAACCCAGUGACAAUCUCAUGGGCAAUGAAAUGAUAUCCCAACUGCAAAUGUACACUGGUGUAUUAGAAGUCAGAGCACAGAAUCAGGGAAGCCCAUCUCUGAAGGAAGACUCCUGACAAACCACAAGUAUGAUCACAAUACUAGUUUUGCUACUUUGGCCUGGCCUCUGGGAAGCAACCAAGGAGUGUCUUACCGGACUUGAGAGGAAAGAGGACAUGCUUGAUGAAAGACAAAACUCCAUUGUUCUCCACAUUUCCUGGCUCACAGAAGGCCUUCUUCAAUUUUUUCUUCACAUCUUCCUUCCGGUCAAGGAGAUCAAUCUUGGACUCCUAGAAGCCACGGAGGAGAAAGGACCUCUUAUGGAUUCUUUCCUUAAGCUACCUAAAACUGCUAGGCCCAAAACUAUUUUCUCAAAGGAGCAUACUAAUCGUUACUGCCCAAAACAGUGUGUGAGAGGACUUGCUACAUGGCAACCCCCAAUACCAGGUAUUGCUGAAGCUCAGCUGUGUUUGGGAAUCCAGAAUUCAACCUUUCACAUCUUUGGGUUCCACUAAGGCCCCCAUUCUGUACCCUUAGGGAUCAAAACAAAAGUGUACUUUUCCUAAGCAGGACUUUUAAAUGUUAAAAGAUACUGGAAAAAAAAAAAAAAAAAAAAAAAGAUAUUGCAGUUAUCAUAUUAGUUAUGUCAAA